GUCGAAACAGCUGGUUGAAGCGGCUCGCUAAAAAUGUACCUUAAAAAUAAUCUUCCCUCUUAUGGGUAGUCACGACAUUGACGUAGUGAAAAGGCUCAAAACCCGAAGGAUAUACACGAAAGAAUGGUUAAGUAUCUAAAAAUUUUCAGAUUCUAUCUAAAUGGUAUAUCUACAUACAUAAAUUUUUAGAUACUUGAGUAAAAUCGUUCUCUUUGUCGCAUCCAAGGUCGAGGAAGCCUCGAGCCUAAUGUAACCUCAUCGCCGAUUUAGUUGAAAGUGAACGAACCGAUUCGUCGUGUCACGCGUUUGCUUCGGGAGUGCCGUUCAAAUUAUCGGACUAAUAGACAUUUCAAAUUCGAUGGAAUUCUAAUUAUAAUUAAUUAUAUAAUUAGUCCACGCGCGAUUAUAAUAUAUUAUUCGCGAGUAUUUUACGCGAGUGUCCUGUUUGAGAGGAUGUCAACCUAAUUCUAAAAGGAGGAGGUCUGAGAAAGACAGAUACCGGUGAAGCAACCUUGCGAUUCAUUGUAGUGACCUUGUAAAUAACUCCGCUUGCGCAUUUGGUUGGUGAAUGAUGAAUUAAUAUUUUCUAUUGAUAAAAAUAAAUAAAGAACAAACGAGCUAUAUAUUGGGAAUUGGCACAGUGAUCGUAAUUCGCUUCAAAAAAGCUUUAUCUUAAAUAAAUGAAAUGAGAAUUGUA